AUUAUGUUGCCAACACAGAAACCAACCAGAAAGAGAAGUCUGCAAGAGUUACAGAAGCAAUUUUAAAGCGAUUAUUUUGUGAGCAUACAAUAUCUUGAGAAAAUGGCGUUCUUUAAUGCUUUGAUAUUCAUGGUAAUGUUGGGAUGCAGUGUUCAAGCAGCCUCAAUUAUUGAUGCGCAAAAUGACAGCAAUUGUAAAGACAAAAAUUGGCAAUGUUGCUUUUGGGCAACAGAUAAUCAUUGUCAACUACAUCCAACUUAUAUGAAGAAAAGUUGUAAAUUUUCUUGUGGCUUGUGCGGAGACUGUAAAAAUGUGUAUAGUAAUGAAGAGUGCAAUGCUUUGGCGAAUAUUGGCGACUGCAAAUCUAACCCAUUAUUCAUGUUUACGAAUUGUAAGAAAGCUUGUACUGGUUGCUCAUAAGCUUCUCCUGCUAAGAAGAGUGGAAAGUGUUAAAGAAAAGUUCAGUCUGCUCAGACAUGAUGUCAUGUUAAUAUUUUACUUUAAAACUUUACUUAUUUAGAUUAAAAUGUAGAAAUAAGUGUAGAAUUUUUUUCUAAGCUGUUCGCACAGUUUGCAACGAAUUGUUUCACAUAUUAAAAAUAUCCAAAAUGCGUUUUGAAAA